GACAGAGGGUGCAAACGUUGUUCGGAAUUACUGGGCGUAAAGCGUGUGUAGGCGGUCUCAUAAGUCGGGUGUGAAAGCCCUGGGCUCAACCCAGGAAGUGCACUCGAAACUGCGAGGCUAGAGUAUCGGAGAGGUUGGUGGAAUUCUCGGUGUAGAGGUGAAAUUCGUAGAUAUCGAGAGGAACACCGGUGGCGAAGGCGGCCAACUGGACGAAUACUGACGCUGAGACUCGAAAGCGUGGGGAGCAAACAGG
rnacentral:rRNA from 1 species